rnacentral:lncRNA from 1 species
UAUAAUUACAGUAUAAGUACAUUUAGAAUUUUAAAAGAUAUGAAAGCCUAAGAAAAAAACAUGGAAUGUAGAAAGAAAUUUCCCAGCAGAUGUUGGGAGAAAAUGGAAAAGAAGGCGUGCACCUAAUGAAUAAGAAGAAGGAGUGCGGAUUGGACCAUUCCCGUUUUCCUUGGUGCACUCCCGAUUUUUAAUUUUGUACUCCCCUUUCUUCAUUUUACCUUUUUAAGCUUUUUCUUGCUGCUCCAUGGGUUUAUUCAUGCAUCCCGACUCUUUUUAACUACACCCUACAUCCACCCAUACACUCAUAUUUUAUUUUAUUUUUCACUUGGUCUUCUCCUUUAUUCUUACAACAUUUAUUUUACUUUUUAUACCUCCACCUC